UAGGGAAUCUUCCGCAAUGGGCGAAAGCCUGACGGAGCAAUGCCGCGUGAGUGAAGAAGGCCUUCGGGUCGUAAAACUCUGUUAUAAGAGAAGAACAAAUUGUAGAGUAACUGCUACAGUCUUGACGGUAUCUUAUCAGAAAGCCACGGCUAACUACGUGCCAGCAGCCGCGGUAAUACGUAGGUGGCAAGCGUUGUCCGGAUUUAUUGGGCGUAAAGGGAGCGCAGGUGGUUUCUUAAGUCUGAUGUGAAAGCCCACGGCUUAACCGUGGAGGGUCAUUGGAAACUGGGGAACUUGAGUACAGAAGAGGAAUGUGGAACUCCAUGUGUAGCGGUGGAAUGCGUAGAUAUAUGGAAGAACACCAGUGGCGAAGGCGACAUUCUGGUCUGUUACUGACACUGAGGCUCGAAAGCGUGGGGGAGCGAACAGGAUUAGAUACCC
rnacentral:rRNA from 1 species